rnacentral:rRNA from 1 species
UACGGAGGGAGCUAGCGUUGUUCGGAAUUACUGGGCGUAAAGGGCUCGUAGGCGGCCAACUAAGUCAGACGUGAAAUCCCCAGGCUCAACCUGGGAACUGCGUCUGAUACCGGAUGGCUUGAAUCCGGGAGAGGGAUGCAGAAUUCCAGGUGUAGCGGUGAAAUGCGUAGAUAUCUGGAGGAAUACCGGUGGCGAAGGCGGCAUCCUGGACCGGCAUUGACGCUGAGGAGCGAAAGCCAGGGGAGCAAACGGG